CUCAUCAUCAGUGUCUUCUGGAUAAUGUGAUGACGUGGCAACACUUGGAAAGGAAAAAAAAAAUCCGAGCAAAGUAUCUCUCUCUCUCUAUAGUGUGAUUAGGGUUGCUUUUUGGCGCCAAAAUUCAUUCAUUUGUCUUCUUCUUUCACCGAUUUCAAAUUCUUGAGAAUUCGCCCAAUGGACGCGUGAAUGAUGAUGUGAAAUCUCUCCUUCUUCAUCUUUUUAUCUCCUUUGUGAAUUACAUAGCAGCGUUUGAUUUUGAAUCAGAAUCACAAUCCUCCGGCAGAUCGAUUUCGGUAAAUCAGUGAUGAGAAGAAGGAAUCACCGAACCAAAGCUGACGAAACCCUAAAUAAGACCGACCCACAACAAAUUGGGUUCAAUUUUACUGAUCCGUCGAGCUCUCAGGCUAAUUCAGAUUUGAAACGCAGGAGAAGGGUGAGUUUCGACGACGAUGUCGAUCAUCAUCGGAUCCCCUUAAACGAAGCUCAGGCCGGACGAUCGAUUGAUGCUGAUGCAAAGACCUCUGAGUUUGCCUUCUUUAAGAAGUUAAAGUCUGGUUUUGGUCACUCCUCUGAAUCAUCAUCUUAUGACUCUAAUAAAGCAUCAAACAAGGUGGUCAAACAAAAUCCGAGAACUUUCGAAUCCAGAGUCAAACCAGGAGAACGUGCAGCAGCAGCAACGGACUGUGAAGCUAAUGAUAGAUCCAAGAGUUGUAACUUCUCCACACCCAUUCAUAGUGCUACUAGACGUGGUAAUUCAUGUGGCUCUGCUAUGUUAUCUGGUGUCAAUUUGACUCAAAGGGAUGAUGUUAUAGAAAACUAUCCGGGGAAAUCUUCUUCAUCAUUGAGUAAAGAAAAGGACACAGUUCCAAGUGGUAGCAACCUGAGAUCUGCAAGUGGAGGAAUCAGUGAUGAGAAAGGAGACAUAUUCUUUGUGAAGAGAAAGAAACUGCAUCAGUGGAUCAAAGAUACAUGGUUUUCUGAAAUCCCUGAGAUUACUUCAAACGGGCACGAUUUAGUUUCUGUUCUCUUAACCCGGCUGUUCCCUGGUGCUGAGGAGACACAUCCCUCUAGGCUUUCCAAAGAGAGGACGGAUAGAGUCAAAAGAAGAACGUUUGUUGAUGCUCCUGGAUCAAAGUUUCUCAAGAGGUCUCAUGAAAGCUAUAGAGAAGUUGACCGCAGUCUGCAAAUGGAGGACAGAUUGAUCCCUUGGCAGGGAUGGCUGGAAAAUAACAUUACCCCGAGGCUGCAGUAUCAAACAGGUCAUGUUCAGAGUAGUUUUAUCCCAAGAGAUCCCGAAGAGAUUAGAUUUCCCAUCUUAUAUCCUAAGGAAUCAGUUUAUCGACCUGAAGAGAUUAGCUUUCCCAUCUUAUAUCCUAAGGAAUCAUUUUAUCGACCUGAAGAGAUUAGCUUUCCCAUCUUAUAUCCUAAGGAAUCAGUCUAUGGACCUCCACUGUUGAAACAGAAGGCGUGCCUGUCAUUUCCUGUUGAAGAAAAUUUGGACUCUUCUCCCAUAUCUAGCCUCCAUUUCAGAAACUACAAGCCUGUUUCAAUGAAUUACCACAGAGAAGAUAGUGGAUACAGCUCAGAGGACUUGUCACAUGAACAUAGAGACCCUUCAUCUGCAUUUCUUCUCGAGUGGAAUACUGAAACCGCAAGCACCAGAAAGACAGAUGAUUUUCCACUUAGUUAUAACACAAGACUCAUCAGAUAUCCAAAUGCAUCAUCCUCAUCAUUGAAUGAUAAUCCAUGGAGCUCUGACUAUUCUCCAUCCCAUGAUUUGGUUACAAGGGAGCUGUACCCUUUACCCCUGCUCUCUCAUGACACUUCCGGCAGUUUCUUCUUACCAACAACGAAGCAAUCCAACCAUUUUGAGCCUGAACUCGAGAGGAAUAUUAUUGAUGACGAAGAUGCGGUUGCUGCAAACCAGAAUCUCCAGACAUCUCAUUUCACAGAUAGCUCAGAUUGUUUAGCCAGAGACUACACAUACUAUCGUAAUCUUUCAAACUCUCCAGUGGAUCAUUGCCAUUUUAAAGUCCCUGGAUGUGAGAUAGCAUCCUUCCCAUUUUCCAGCGUCAGCAAUUCAAAUUUGUUGAAAGCGUCAAGUCCUACACCGAAUGAUCGUUUUAAGUCUCAUGAUUGGAUACCCUUUCGGUUUUAGUCACCUCAAGCUUGGAUUGAUUCAUAGAAUGGCUACGAGCUUAAAACAGCAACUGAGAAGAACUACUCAGAACCGACUUUGGUUGCCGUAGAAAAAAUGUGUUGGUGCGGGAAUUGGCACCCCCUAUAUACCGAUCUAAACAUGCAAGGAAACCGGUUAUCCAAAUCGAGAGUUCGAACAAUAAUGGAUUCGGGCUUCAAGCGGAGGCCCAAUAUCAUCAAGAAGCCCAGUUCCGAGGUGAGGGACCGACUUCUCACCUCAUCCAGCGGUUGACCUAAUAAGAAGAGAGAAACUUUCCUAAUCAGCUGGACUACGAUUUGGAAAAUUGAUAUAUUCUGUAAAUCUAAGAAAGUCUAUAAAUAAAGGGCGAUCCUUUCAUUGUAAAAGGAUCCAACAAUUAAUACAAA